rnacentral:rRNA from 1 species
AGCGAACGCUGGCGGCAGGCCUAACACAUGCAAGUCGAACGGACCCUUCGGGGUUAGUGGCGGACGGGUGAGUAACACGUGGGAACGUGCCUUUAGGUUCGGAAUAGCUCCUGGAAACGGGUGGUAAUGCCGAAUGUGCCCUUCGGGGGAAAGAUUUAUCGCCUUUAGGGCGGCCCGCGUCUGAUUAGCUAGUUGGUGAGGUAACGGCUCACCAAGGCGACGAUCAGUAGCUGGUCUGAGAGGAUGACCCGCCACACUGGGACUGGGACCCGGCCCGGACUCCUGGGGGGGGGCGCAGGGGGGAUUCUGGCGCAACGGGCGAAAGCCUGAGGCCGCCUGGCCGGGAAAAUGAUGAGGGUCUAAGGAUUAUAAAAUUUUUUCCCCGGGGACGUUAUGACGGGACCCCGGGAAAAAGCCCCGGCCAACUUUGGG